CUCCAUUGAAUCCAUCUAAUCUCUCCUCUGAUUGAACGCGAACCAAAGGAAGAAGAACAUAAAUCGGAAGCCAUCCGAUUCUAGACCUUAAUCGGAGCGCUGAAACCCAAUUAAGGACUAACGUGAUUAAGAAGGAAGAAACUAUGCCUGGCAGCAUUGGGUGAAUGGAGGUAGAAACAGAGGAAACUGAAAAUGGUAAUAAUGAUGUAUCUCGUCCCUAAAGAGGCUAAUGAUCAGCCGAAGGAACUACUAUACUAGAAACAAGCUUCUAAAAGGCUAUUGCAGAAUGGGAUACGGGUACUGAUGCGGGUCCUCUUGUAACUAGGCCUAGGCAUAUUCGGUUUGAAUC